CUCAAAGGAAUUGACGGGGGCCCGCACAAGCGGCGGAGCAUGCGGAUUAAUUCGAUGCAACGCGAAGAACCUUACCAAGGCUUGACAUGAACCGGAAAGACCUGGAAACAGGUGCCCCGCUUGCGGUCGGUUUACAGGUGGUGCAUGGUUGUCGUCAGCUCGUGUCGUGAGAUGUUGGGUUAAGUCCCGCAACGAGCGCAACCCUCGUUCUAUGUUGCCAGCGCGUUAUGGCGGGGACUCAUAGGAGACUGCCGGGGUCAACUCGGAGGAAGGUGGGGACGACGUCAAAUCAUCAUGCCCCUUAUGUCUUGGGCUUCACGCAUGCUACAAUGGCCGGUACAAAGGGUUGCGAUACUGUGAGGUGGAGCUAAUCCCAAAAAGCCGGUCUCAGUUCGGAUUGGGGUCUGCAACUCGACCCCAUGAAGUCGGAGUCGCUAGUAAUCGCAGAUCAGCAACGCUGCGGUGAAUACGUUCCCGGGCCUUGUACACACCGCCCGUCAAGUCACGAAAGUUGGUAACACCCGAAGCCGGUGGCCUAACCCUUGUGGGGGGAGCCGUCGAAGGUGGGACCGGCGAUUGGGACUAAGUCGUAACAAGGUAGCCGUACCGGAAGGUGCGGCUGGAU
rnacentral:rRNA from 1 species